CAAGGAACUAAGAGUUUAUGGGGGAUACCUUGGCAUUCAGAAGCGAUGAAGGACGUGGUUACCGACGAUAUGCUUCGGGGAGCUGGAAACAAGCUAUGAUCCGGAGGUUUCCGAAUGAGGCAACUUUUUAACUACUUAUUGAAUUCAUAGAUAAGAAAGAGCGAACCUAGAGAAUUGAAACAUCUUAGUACCUAGAGGAAAAGAAAGUAAAAACGAUUCCCUGAGUAGCGGCGAGCGAAACGGGAUUAGCCUAAACUUAAUUAUAAAUUAAGGGUAGUGGGACAAUGAUAACGAAUUUAAUGGAACGAUUAGAGGAAUAAGUUUGGAAUACUUAACCAUAGAGAGUGAUAGUCUCGUACUCGAAAAUUGAACCAAUUCAAUUGUAUCCCAAGUAGCAUGGAGCACGUGAAAUUCCGUGUGAAUCUGCGAGGACCACCUCGUAAGGCUAAAUAUUCCUGAAUGACCGAUAGUGAAACAGUACCGUGAGGGAAAGGUGAAAAGAACCCCGGGAG
rnacentral:rRNA from 13 species